CUUCAGUAGAACUUGGAAGCAAGAACUGGGAACACGCGUCCAACUCCCACAGCCAACAGUGCUCCCUCAGCAGAGGGCUGGCGCAGCCACGGGACAGGCACAUCCACUGCCCUGCACAGCGCCUCUGUGGCGGUAGGGCGCAUGCGUGUCACCAGAGCACACAGUGCUGUGCUUGGUGACGUCACAGAAGAGUCAGUGCCCCCAGCUGAGUGCCUGGCUUGCCACCACCGUUACUGGUGCUACCUAAAAAUCAACCGUCAGUGAUUUGGGACUGGCCUCCACCUGAGCUCAUCUUUAUUGAACGGGCUGUCUCAAAGCAUGCAUGGUUGCUUCCGUGGUGUGGAACGUUUUCUUUACUGAUCCAUGGCUCGCAUGUUCUGCCUUAUCCAGCAUACGCUUAAUAAAAGCUCACACCAGUAACGGUGGUGGCAAGCCAGGCACUCAGCUGGGGGCACUGACUCUUCUGUGACGUCACCAAGCACAGCACUGUGUGCUCUGGUGACACGCAUGCGCCCUACCGCCACAGAGGCGCUGUGCAGGGCAGUGGAUGUGCCUGUCCCGUGGCUGCGCCAGCCCUCUGCUGAGGGAGCACUGUUGGCUGUGGGAGUUGGACGCGUGUUCCCAGUUCUUGCUUCCAAGUUCUACUGAAGGUUGCUUGAGCGUUGCGACAGUUCCUGUACGCAGCUGACGUCAGGGCAUUUCCCCCCUCGAGAAGCUAAUCGAGCACCAGAAGAAGGCAGGGAAAAUGCUUCUUGCUCAUUAUUUUUCACCUCUUGAUACUUUCUUUAGGGUUACUUUAUUUCCCUGAUCAAGCCAGGAGAAGGCUUCCAUUCCAAGAAGGAGCGAAGGCGGCUUUUUCCAGGAGUGGCAGCAGUCCCUGUGGAGAGAUCCUUGAGAACCUGAACUUGUUCUAGGAAUUUCUCCGGCAUGGCCAAUCAGGGAGAUGGUUCUUAUUCCCCUUCUCACUCCGCAUCUCGCAAGGUAUGCUUGGGUGUCUGUUGCUUUGUUUUUCUUGCUUUUCUUCAGUGCUAAAGAGGGAGGGGUUGAGUAGGAGGAUGCUUGCUGCUCUUUGGUUCACUUAGUAACCUCUUAGAUUCUGUCUUUGGUUCCAAGAAUGAAACCUAAUAUCAUGGUCAAUUCUCAGGCUGUGCUUUUUUGUUGUUUGUUUUUUUAAGAUUCGAUUGAAUCGAUGUGGUGAGAUGUGGAGAAAACGGAAAGCCUCCGAAGGUAAGAACUUCUUGUAAAGUAGCGUUGGGGUGCCUUCAUCCAAAUAUGACGGCAUGAAGGGCAUUUCUGAUGUAUGAGAGAGGAAAAUUGCAGUUCUGCGUCGGCUGCGGAAAUGGCAAAAUAAUAGCCAACAGCUAAGGGGCACAUGUAAUAAAAUAUGCUUGGGAAUUGGAAGACUGUGGUGGGCUGUUCUGACAUUGUCCUCCAAAGAGCUGCUCUUCAAGUAUUCCUUGUUUUCUCUUGGUCUGAAGCUGACGGGAGUGGCAUCGCGGUGAAGCGCAGCCUUGUUGAAAGUCUGGAUAAGAAGCUGGAGGUUGAUGAAGCACCAAAGAAUACUCCAGGUACUCAGCGGGCAUUGGAAUUUGAUGCACAGAUGUUCUACUUAGGCUUUGUGCUUCUUCUUUCCCGCAAUUCUUCUCUUGGCAUGUUGCUUGAGCUCUUAAGCCCUGGGAUUUGAAGUUCCCUCUGCCAUUCUGUUUUGAAAUGCGACCCCAAAGUUGGCAUUGAUGCAGCCUGUGUCCUUUGUUCCAUUCAGUUUUGGAGUGCUAGUCCCCAGCUCUGGGAAGGAGAGACUACGAUUGUCCUCCGUACAGACCAGCACACGGACAGACAGUAACUGGACAUUCUAUAUGUUAUCUGACUUACUUCCAUUCAUUUAAGAGCACUUCCAUACAGCUCUAAAAAUAGAUUUGAAAGGGUGGGAAAAAAAAAAAAAAAGCAACCUGGUUCUGCUUUCCUGGAGUGCUGAAACUCUUCUGAUGGCUGUUAUCAGAAAUCUGGUCUGGGGAUGUGGUGUUUUUCCACUCGUGCAUCUUCUGUGAACCCUCCCAGGGUGCAGUGCACUUAGGCACAGGUAGAACAGAUCCACUGCCAGGAGCAGGAGUCUGAGAUGCUAAUGGAGAGACGCAGUCAGAAAGGAACAGGAUAGGUUUGCGAUUUUGUGUAGCAGCUCU
ensembl:lncRNA